rnacentral:rRNA from 1 species
AGAGUUUGAUCAUGGCUCAGAUUGAACGCUGGCGGCAGGCCUAACACAUGCAAGUCGAGCGGUAGCACAGAGAGCUUGCUCUCGGGUGACGAGCGGCGGACGGGUGAGUAAUGUCUGGGAAACUGCCUGAUGGAGGGGGAUAACUACUGGAAACGGUAGCUAAUACCGCAUAACGUCGCAAGACCAAAGUGGGGGACCUUCGGGCCUCAUGCCAUCAGAUGUGCCCAGAUGGGAUUAGCUAGUAGGUGGGGUAACGGCUCACCUAGGCGACGAUCCCUAGCUGGUCUGAGAGGAUGACCAGCCACACUGGAACUGAGACACGGUCCAGACUCCUACGGGAGGCAGCAGUGGGGAAUAUUGCACAAUGGGCGCAAGCCUGAUGCAGCCAUGCCGCGUGUGUGAAGAAGGCCUUCGGGUUGUAAAGCACUUUCAGCGGGGAGGAAGGCGAUAAGGUUAAUAACCUUGUCGAUUGACGUUACCCGCAGAAGAAGCACCGGCUAACUCCGUGCCAGCAGCCGCGGUAAUACGGAGGGUGCAAGCGUUAAUCGGAAUUACUGGGCGUAAAGCGCACGCAGGCGGUCUGUCAAGUCGGAUGUGAAAUCCCCGGGCUCAACCUGGGAACUGCAUUCGAAACUGGCAGGCUAGAGUCUUGUAGAGGGGGGUAGAAUUCCAGGUGUAGCGGUGAAAUGCGUAGAGAUCUGGAGGAAUACCGGUGGCGAAGGCGGCCCCCUGGACAAAGACUGACGCUCAGGUGCGAAAGCGUGGGGAGCAAACAGGAUUAGAUACCCUGGUAGUCCACGCUGUAAACGAUGUCGAUUUGGAGGUUGUGCCCUUGAGGCGUGGCUUCCGGAGCUAACGCGUUAAAUCGACCGCCUGGGGAGUACGGCCGCAAGGUUAAAACUCAAAUGAAUUGACGGGGGCCCGCACAAGCGGUGGAGCAUGUGGUUUAAUUCGAUGCAACGCGAAGAACCUUACCUGGUCUUGACAUCCACAGAACUUUCCAGAGAUGGAUUGGUGCCUUCGGGAACUGUGAGACAGGUGCUGCAUGGCUGUCGUCAGCUCGUGUUGUGAAAUGUUGGGUUAAGUCCCGCAACGAGCGCAACCCUUAUCCUUUGUUGCCAGCGGUUAGGCCGGGAACUCAAAGGAGACUGCCAGUGAUAAACUGGAGGAAGGUGGGGAUGACGUCAAGUCAUCAUGGCCCUUACGACCAGGGCUACACACGUGCUACAAUGGCAUAUACAAAGAGAAGCGACCUCGCGAGAGCAAGCGGACCUCAUAAAGUAUGUCGUAGUCCGGAUUGGAGUCUGCAACUCGACUCCAUGAAGUCGGAAUCGCUAGUAAUCGUAGAUCAGAAUGCUACGGUGAAUACGUUCCCGGGCCUUGUACACACCGCCCGUCACACCAUGGGAGUGGGUUGCAAAAGAAGUAGGUAGCUUAACCUUCGGGAGGGCGCUUACCACUUUGUGAUUCAUGACUGGGGUGAAGUCGUAACAAGGUAACCGUAGGGGAACCUGCGGUUGGAUCACCU